rnacentral:rRNA from 1 species
AUUCCAGCUCCAAUAGCGUAUAUUAAAGUUGUUGCAGUUAGAACGCUCGUAGUCGGAUUUCGGGGCAGUCCGACCGGUCUGCCGAUGGGUAUGCACUGGCCGGAGUGUCCUUUUUGCCGGAGACCGUGCCUACUCUUAACUGAGCGGGGGCGGGAGACGGCACUUUUACUUUGAAAAAAUCAGAGUGUUUCAAGCAGGCAGCUCGCUCUUGCAUGGAUUAGCAUGGGAUAAUGAAAUAGGACUUUGGUGCUAUUUUGUUGGUUUCGAACACCGAAGUAAUGAUGAGAAGGGACAGUCAGGGGCACUCGUAUUCCGCAGAGAGAGGUGAAAUUCUCAGACCCGCGGAAGACGAACCACUGCGAAAGCAUUUGCCAGGGAUGUUUUCAUCG